rnacentral:rRNA from 1 species
UGAACGCUGGCGGCGUGCCUAAUACAUGCAAGUCGAGCGAACAGACGAGGAGCUUGCUCCUCUGACGUUAGCGGCGGACGGGUGAGUAACACGUGGAUAACCUACCUAUAAGACUGGGAUAACUUCGGGAAACCGGAGCUAAUACCGGAUAAUAUAUUGAACCGCAUGGUUCAAUAGUGAAAGACGGUUUUGCUGUCACUUAUAGAUGGAUCCGCGCCGCAUUAGCUAGUUGGUAAGGUAACGGCUUACCAAGGCAACGAUGCGUAGCCGACCUGAGAGGGUGAUCGGCCACACUGGAACUGAGACACGGUCCAGACUCCUACGGGAGGCAGCAGUAGGGAAUCUUCCGCAAUGGGCGAAAGCUUGACGGAGCAACGCCGCGUGAGUGAUGAAGGUCUUCGGAUCGUAAAACUCUGUUAUUAGGGAAGAACAAAUGUGUAAAUAACUAUGCACGUCUUGACGGUACCUAAUCAGAAAGCCACGGCUAACUACGUG